AAAGAAGUUCGUUUUUAGCUAUAAAAAAAGAGUUCAUUUUUAGCUAAUUAACUAGGACUUCUGUGAAUAAAUUUCACACAGAUUCUUAUUGAUAAUGGCAUAAGUAUAUGUGCACACACAAAAAAAAUGGCAUAUCUAUUAUGUACAUGAGGACCAAAUGUAUAUAUAUAUAUAUAUAUAUAUGUCAAGUAGAAAAGAAGAAGACGAACCAAGAAUGAGAGCGGCAGUGAUCCAACCACCGGUUUUGGAUUUGUCGGCAGGUCGUCCUUUGUAGUCUACGGCAUCAGCCACUGUCCAACUCCCUUUGCUCUCCUGAAAACAACGACGUACGUCAAUCCAAAGUUCCCGAAUCUUAUAACCAAUAGUUUACGACCACAGAAGCAAAUAAUGAUGGACAGGAGACUGCCUUUUUAUAGCCACAAAAUGAAUGAAAGAGGGCUAGCACCGACCUUCCACUAUAUGUGAUUUGGGACAUAUCGCAAAAACGUGAAAUCUUUGAGAUAGGUUCAUCACACUUUUUUCCCCAACUUUAAAAUAUUUCUUAAUUUAUAUUUCGAAAUUAUUUUUGGCUCUUUUUAAUUUUUUUCUUUAAUUUUCUAUUUUCUUAUUUGUUGUAAAUUUUCUCUUUUAUGAUGAUAACUUAUUUAUUCGACCCAAACUCUGGGUCCCAAAGACACAUACA